ensembl:snRNA U1 U1 spliceosomal RNA
AUACUUACCUGGCAGGGGAGAUACCAUGAUCACGAAGGUGGUUUUCCCAGGGCGAGGCUUAUCCAUUGCACUCCGGAUGUGCUGACCCCUGCGAUUUCCCCAAAUGUGGGAAACUCGACUGCAUAAUUUGUGGUAGUGGGGGACUGCGUUUGCGCUCUCCCCUG